AUUGGAUUAAGAGAGCCGAAUGGCUACUAGAUUUCUUAUUUGGAUAUUUAAGUGACCAGACUGGAGGUAAGGUCCCUGGUCGAGCAUUGCUCUCGGGGCGCCAGUCUUAUUGGAUAAGAGAGCCAAAAGGCUAAGGCUGAGAGUUAAGUGACCGGACUGGAGGUAAGGUCCCUGGUCGAGCUUUGCUCUCUGGGCGCCAGUCCUGUUGGAAUGAGAGGUUUGAGAUGAUAGAGUUGAGGUUAGUUGAGACAUAAGUGUUGAAAUAAUCGAGAUUUUAGAGUUGGGAUUAGAGUUCUACUGAAGUACUCUGUCCCGUUGCAUGUGGAAUAAAUUUUGUUUAAGCAUGGCAUGACACAUAUGUUUUAACAUGACACGUAUGGUUCGC
rnacentral:lncRNA from 1 species